rnacentral:pre_miRNA from 1 species
UAGACAAAUUAUUGUAUUCGACUGGAUUCACGAUAUGUAUUUGUGAAUACAGUAACGUAAAUAGCGCAAUUCAUGGUCUAUUCAUAUGUUUUUAAAUGGAAAGUGAAUCAAUUAACAUAAUAGACUCAU